rnacentral:tRNA from 1 species
AAAGAUUUAGGAUAUUUAGACCAAGGACCUUCAAAGUCCUAAGCAGAAGUUAAAAUCUUCUAAUCUUU